rnacentral:rRNA from 1 species
CGAAACCGAUAGCGAACAAGUACCGUGAGGGAAAGUUGAAAAGUACUCUGAAUAGAGAGUUAAAUAGUACGUGAAACCGCUUAGGGGUUAAGCCCGAUGAACCCGAAUAUCUGAUGUGAGAAAUUCAAUACUGUUCAAUCAAUGCGAUAGUAUGCACUUUUCUCAUAGUAGGACAUUGUAAUCCAUUGAUAUUAUAUCACUUUCACUUAUAUGGGAGUGAUGAUUUAACAUACGAACAAAAUGUAUAAGUUUAUUCUAUCAGUGAUGUGUUUACAUAUCAUAUGAAUAAGAUCGUUUUGUAUCUGUUUAAAUAGUCGAUGGAUUUUAACAGAAUCAUGCUUGCAAUUUAAUUUGCGUUUCGUGUUAUCGACCAUUUGUUGGUUGGU